UUGAAAAAUAAUCUGUGUUAAUGACAUGCUAUUAAUGGUUUUACUUUAGAAUGUGUUUAGAACUCUCCAGAAUGAUAUUUGCAUUCACUUCAUGUUGGUGUAGUAGUAGCCAAUAGGCUGUCUUCCCUGGGCUCCAGUUCGCUCAGCCCAACAGUGCUGGAAUUUAAGCCAAUGGAUACCCUGUUGCUACGCAAAAAAAGUUUAUAUUUUGCCAAUCAUCGUCGUCAAAUUUUAUGGUUUGGGGGCUCUGAAAAUAUCGCCCGUGAUUAGAGCAGUGCACCUGCUGCACCACGGGAUAUUUACCUCAGAGGAGUACGAGUGCAGUAUGGAGGCGCCGAUGAAGUCGAGUAGCAUUAAUGAAGUCGUGGGAGUUGAGCUAGCCCCAAAUUCAGUUAAAUCUCUACACCUGUAUCCAUUUGAAAGAAGAACAUUAGCGGAAAAACUAAUUGUAAAAGAACUCGGACCAGACAAGCCAGAAGUGAAUAUAACCCAACAGGCGCGAGAAAAGGAGAAAACCUACAAGAGAUCAUUUUCCCGAGGUUGGUUCAAUCGAAAGCUUUGGCUUACUAGCUGUGGUUACGCCAAUGCAAUCUUUUGCUUUCCUUGCUUACUGUUUAAAUCAAGUGCUUGUGAUAGCUCGUGGACACAGACAGGGGUAACAGACCUGAAACAUAUGUCAGAACACAUUAAGAAACACGAACGGGCAAGAGUGCAUAUGGACAACUCUGUGAAGCUAGCCAUGUUAGGCCGAAUUAGCAUAGCCACACAGCUAGAUGAGGGACACCGCGUUGCGAUAAGAAGGCACAACGAAGAGGUGGACAGGAAUCGGCAUAUUUUGUCAAAGAUCAUUGAUGCCGUGAAAUUUUGUGGUGCCUUUGAACUUGCUUUGCAUGGUCACGAUGAGAGUGAAGCCUCAGAAAACCCUGGCAUCUUCCUGGGUCUAAUUGAUCUCUUGGCCUCAAUCGACCGCGAGUUGGACGUGCACCUGGAGAAUGCCACUGUUUUUAAAGGCACUUUGAAAACCGUGCAGAAUGAACUGUUAGACUGCAUGUUGUCAGUUCUCAGAGACCGCAUUCUGGAAGAGGUGAAACAGUCGGAUUAUAUUGCCAUUCAGGCAGACGAGACAACCGACAUAUGCACUCAUUGUCAGCUUGUGCUUGUGUUACGGUACAUAGAUGGCCACAACAACAUUCAAGAACGCUUUUUUGAGUUUAUCGCGCUUCCAAAUGCGACUGCUGAUACGAUUUCCACUGCAUUAUUGGAAAGACUGAGCACCAUCCUUCCUGCGGGACGAGAGGGAAAAUUAAUUGCCCAGGCUUAUGAUGGUGCCGCAGUGAUGAGGGGUGCUACUGGUGGAGUGCAGCGUAAAGUGCAAGACGUCUACGGGUGUGCAUAUUACGUUCACUGUUAUGCGCAUCAGUUGAACCUCAUUAUGCAGCAGGCAAAAUCCCACAUCCCAAAGAUCGGCCAGUUUUUUUCAGAUGUAGGGGGGUUUUUCUACAUUUUUUUCCAAGUCAUUCAAACGAACGGCAGUGCUGGAUGAAGUGGUGGCACACAGACUUCCAGGUGCUUCAACAACGCGAUGGAACUUCCACAGUCGAGCUGUUAACACCGUUUACGAGCACAAAGACAAACUGGUUAAGUGCUUCCAAACCAUUCGAGACAGAGGAGACUUUGAUGCCAUAUCGAAGAGAGAGGCCGGGGGUUGUAUGAGAAUGUUGGAAGAUGAGGUUUUCUGUUUCAUCCUGGCGUUAUUCCACAAAAUCAUGCCACAUGUAGACAUGCUGUUUAACCAUCUGCAGAAGAGGAACAUAGACUCUGUCUUCAUCGCAGGGAUCACCCAGAGGUUCACUCACAGCAUUCAGGCCAUCAGGGACUCCGUUCCUUCUCUAGUUGAGGAUGAGGAGUAUAGGGGACCUGUACAGGAACCACCCCUGAAGAAACAGAGGGCAAUGGGAGAAGAAACGCAACAGCAUCUGGCAAUAGAGGUAAGCAGUAACAGAAAUUCUAUUUCUGUAUUCUAUUAGCCUAUAUGUAUUCGUGUUCGUUUGAACAUUUUUGUAUUCUGAAUUGUAAUUAUUAGACAUAUCUAUCUACUGGAGAAUGCAGAAAUUAUGAUUUUUUUUUUUCACAAUUGUGCUUUUAUUAAUUAUUGUGUAUAUGGUGUGUAUGUGUGAGAAUGACACAGACAGCCAAUAAAGCUUAGAGAAAGAGCGAGCGAGUGUGUGUGUGUGUGUGUUUUUGUGAGACAGAGAGAGACUGAGUGGAUAAGAGAAUGACAGCUAGUGUGUGUAUUAUAAUUAUAAUUAAUAAAACUUACUUGUUCAUAACAAAAUUGUAACUGCUGUGAAUAUGCUGAUUUUGUUGUAUUGUUGAACUGAGAAAUGUGAAAACUUAAUGUUUUGUGCUUAUUUUUCUACAAUUAUGUAUCGUUGCAUAGGUAUGUGAUACCAUUAUGAGCCAUGCCAAGGAGAGGUGUUCUUUCACCAAUCAUCUCAUCAGUGCCACUCUGUUGCAAGGAGACUUGUUUCCACAACACAGCAGAAAGUUCCCGGAUUCAGCACUAGGAACCACGGUGGAUGCCUAUCCCAUGUUGGACAAAGCCAGACUUAAAACAGAACUGUCCCUGAUCUAUGAAAAUGAGGACUUCCAGGGUUGCAGUGGUGCACUGGCUCUCUUUCAGGUUGUAAUGGAAAAUAACCUUCAAGACACAUUCACCGAAACUGUAAGUCUUCUCAAGAUCCUCAUCACCACACCAAUGACAACAGCAGAAUCAGAGAGGUGCUUCUCUACUUUAAAGAGGAUACAGACUUUCCUUAGGAACACGAUGGCACAAGAUCGCCUCAACGCUCUGGCUAUGCUCUCUAUAGAGAAAAAACUCACAUGGGACAUUCCAGAUUUCAACACAAGGGUCAUUGAGAGAUUUGCCACUCAGAAAGACAGACGAGCAAAGUUCCUGUACAAAUAAGAGUUCUCCAUCCCCUUCACUCUCACUCACACAUUCACUCCAUCUACUUCUCUCAUACACAAAUCUAACUGUCACAGACACCAUGUGUUAGUCUCCCUCUACUCUUUACUCUCUCUCUUUCUCUCUCACCCUCCCAUCUAUCUCUCCGACAGAUUACAAUCAAUAUUAUUGAUUAAAUAAAAAAAAUAUAAUUUAGUCAUUAAAUUAAUUCCUUAAAAGUUAACCAUUUAAAAUGAAUAAAAUGUAUACAUUUUUUUAAACACAAAUAUCUGAAUUAAAAAUUCUUUAUUUUUUAUUGCCAACAUUGAAGACACCUGAUGUUAACGAGCAGAGUUAAUUAACUUCUGAGUUAGUUUAACUUUAGUAAUUAUAGCAGCACUGGCCUUGUACGGCGUAAUAUUUUUAACUUUCACAAUGUAAUCCAUUUUAUGAUGUUAUAAAGCAUGUUGCAGUGCAUUCUGGGCACAGAAUGCACUGCAACAUGCUUUAUAAUUGUCACCAUUGUUGAGAUUCACAGGCUGAUUCUUGAUGUCUGUGUCUCUCUUUUUUGUAUAAGAGAAACCUUUUAGAAAUUAUUUGGAUUACAUUGUAAAUAUAGCGUAUUAUUCAUUUUUAUGCUGUCAUUCUCUUACUCACUCAGUCUCUCACUCACUCACACACAUCAUAUUUCACACACAUUUGCAAUUAAAAUAGUGAUCUCAAUAUGAAAUGUAACCGUAUGUUUGCUUUUUUUGUUUUGAAGUUCUGAGCUGGAUUACUGUGUUUCCAUAAUAGUUAAAAUGUUGAAAUCUUCUCUCUUCUCAUACUUGGUGUUCUUCAAGGAUGUUGUCCCACCCUUUCUUUGAGAGCCUUCUCUCUUUCUCUAGUAUCAACACAGACUGUUAUCCAAUUUGUCUACAGUGAACUUUUAAAGAUAUGUAGUCUACAGUUGGGGAUUGAUUAAAGAACUAGAUUGUUGUAUUCCCUAUUAUAAUUUAUUGUUAUGCGUUUGCACUUUUUCUAUCUGGACACGGAGCAUAAUAAACUUGCAACUUGUUCAUUAUCAUUACCUGUGAAACUGUUGAUUUCUACAUGGCAGUUCAAUUAAUAUUGUCUUUUUAGACCAUUGGUAUUGACUGGUUUGAGCUAUAAGCAAGGGACAUGGGUGUCCUAAAAUGCACCAGAAUGCAGGUAAUCACAACUAUGAAAUAAAAUUUUUUCCCUUAUUAGCUAAGCUUUUAAUAGCGAAUGGACCGCAACAUACAAAGAGAGAGCAAAGAGAGCUUUUUGCAUUUUAUUCAAAAGCAGUUUUUCUGUGGGACAUGGUGGAGAAUACAAUGUGAAGCCACAUGGUGCAUGUGAGUAGCCUACCACAGAAAAAAGCAUGUCAUCAAGAAACAUGCAAAUCAGUGCAAUCGUUUUUCAAUAAACCAAAUGACCCACAGGCUGACAAAGUUUCGGCAGCAGAAGUGACGAGCAUUUAUCAUGCCGUACAUCACACACAUUCAUAUUGUUCGACUGCAGUAACAAGUUAGCCCCAGUAACUUUUAGAGAUUCUGAAAUAGCUAAGAAAAAAGCUGUAGAAACUUUGGGUGAUAAUUUGGUCAGGUAGUGUCUUAAUCUUUUAGUUGGUGGGUUUUAAAAGGAAUAUAGGUAAUAUAUUACAGAAAGCUUGAAAUGUCUAUUUUAA